AUUUGCUCGAUGUCCGAUUGGUCGAAGCCGCCUUCAUAGUCUUCUGUAUUUAUAUACCUAACACAAUGAUUAAUAUAACCGUUUUUAAGCAACUCAGCCCUUUUCACCUUGCUUUCAAGAAUACAUUCAUCAAAUUGAUUCGCUCUUAUAGUAUAGGGGGAAUUACAGAAACAAUGAAAUAAAAAUUGUAUAUUGUAUUUAUUACUUUGAAAUUUACAAAUAUAAUAGCAUAUAGAGAUUGAAAUUAA